UCCCAGUGAGGAGACAUUCACAUGUGUUAAUCCUGCCCUAGUUGCAGAACCUGUGAAGAUGAACCCCCUGGGGCUGGCUGGGGAGAAGAGGAAAGUUUGUUCCAGAUGGAACUGUCUGAGGGAU